GACGAACGCUGGCGGCGUGCUUAACACAUGCAAGUCGAACGGAAAGGCCCUGCUUUUGUGGGGUGCUCGAGUGGCGAACGGGUGAGUAACACGUGAGUAACCUGCCCUUGACUUUGGGAUAACUUCAGGAAACUGGGGCUAAUACCGGAUAGGAGCUCCUGCUGCAUGGUGGGGGUUGGAAAGUUUCGGCGGUUGGGGAUGGACUCGCGGCUUAUCAGCUUGUUGGUGGGGUAGUGGCUUACCAAGGCUUUGACGGGUAGCCGGCCUGAGAGGGUGACCGGCCAAAUUGGGACUGGGAUACGGCCCAGCCUCCUACGGGAGGCAGCAGUGGGGAAUAUUGCACAAUGGGCGGAAGCCUGAUGCAGCAACGCCGCGUGCGGGAUGACGGCAUUCGGGUUGUAAACCGCUUUCGCCUGUGACGAAGCGUGAGUGACGGUAAUGGGUAAAGAAGCACCGGCUAACUACGUG
rnacentral:rRNA from 1 species